rnacentral:rRNA from 1 species
UACGUAGGUCCCGGGCGUUGUCCGGAUUUAUUGGGCGUAAAGCGAGCGCAGGUGGUUUAUUAAGUCUGGUGUAAAAGGCAGUGGCUCAACCAUUGUAUGCAUUGGAAACUGGUAGACUUGAGUGCAGGAGAGAAGAGUGGAAUUCCAUGUGUAGCGGUGAAAUGCGUAGAUAUAUGGAGGAACACCGGUGGCGAAAGCGGCUCUCUGGCCUGUAACUGACACUGAGGCUCGAAAGCGUGGGGAGCAAACAGG